rnacentral:rRNA from 1 species
UACGUAGGGGGCUAGCGUUGUCCGGAAUCAUUGGGCGUAAAGCGCGCGUAGGCGGCCAGAUAAGUCCGGUGUGAAAGUCACAGGCUCAACCUGUGAAUGCCGCUGGAAACUGUCUGGCUCGAGUCCGGGAGGGGCGAGUGGAAUUCCUGGUGUAGCGGUGAAAUGCGCAGAUAUCAGGAAGAACACCCGUGGCGAAGGCGGCUCUCUGGUACGUGACUGACGCUGAGACGCGAAAGCGUGGGGAGCGAACAGG